AGCCCUACAGAACGAACCAUGAGGCCAGGAACCCAGCCUCUCACCAACAGCAGCAGAACUCAGCGGGUGUAUGACGGAGCCUCCUGGAGCCCAGUUCUCCAGCCCCAGCUGAGCCCUCAGGUGAGACACUGCGGUCACCAUCUUAACUGCAACCUCAGGACAGACCUGAGCCAGUGCGACCCAGAAGCUGUGCUGGACUCGAGACCCACAGAAAUAGUAAGGUCAUACAUCCCUGUGGUUUCAGCCCACAGAGUCGCAGAUAAUCUGUUAGGCAGCAACUGAUGGGUAACACACAGGCAAAUCCAACUUACCCAGCACUUUCAACUGAAGGCUUUGCAUGAGGAAUAGUGUAUUGAGGCCACUGUACUGAAACAUGGUGGAGGGUUAGUUUUCUUUAAUUUGAAAAUUCUGGGCUGGACAUGGUGGCUCACGCUUAUAGUCAGUUGUAGCACUUUGGGAAGCUGAGAUGGGAGAACUGCUUGAGUCCAGGAGUUCAAGACCAGUCUGGGCAACAUAGUGAGACCCUAUCUCUACAAAAAGUUUAAAAAUUAGCCAGGCUUGGUGGUGCAUGCCUGUAGUCCCAGCUACACAGGAGGGCGAGGCAGAAGAAUUGCUUGAACCGGGGAGGUCAAGGCUGCAGUGAGCCACGUUCAUGCCACUGUACUCCAGUCUGGGUGACAGAAUAAGACCUCCUGUCAAAAAAAAGAAAAUUCUGAACUGGGUUCUUCAUUGGGUAUCAGCAUGAGCUCAUCUCUGAAAGCGACUGUAAUCAUGAGAAGACGCUGCUUGGAAAUGCAUGGAAGAGGAGUUUGGAGAAAAUAACAGAUGGAACAGCUGUAGGGCUGAAGAGAUGAUUCCAGACUCGGACUGCUCUGUGCAUAGUGUGGAGGGGCUGCUGCCAGCCCCACCGUGGGGGAUACUGCACUGGGCAUGUCAUGGCCAGUCCAGGGAUGAACAGGCUUCAGGCUAACAAGGUGGGGAACUAUCAACACCUGCCCACAGUAUGGGAGGGAAGAUCAAUUAUUCAAAAUUAAAAACCUGCUUGUGUUUUGUCCAAAGAAUGAAGAAAAUUACACGCCUUGAAUGAAUAUCCCAGCUGCUUGACUCCAUAUAUAACCACUACCACUUGAUCUCAAGCAAUAUUUAAAAAGGCAAUUUGUAACCUAUUCAUAUUUAAAGAGACCCAAAUCUAUGUUCUCAUCCUAUGCAGUUAUCCAGGAGGUGGUGAAGCAGGUUUUCUGGCUGGGUCACUGACACCUUCAAUGUGGAAAGUGCUGUCUGCAGGGGGCCUUGAGGAAGGAGCCUUUGCGUCUGUCCCUUUGGCGGCUGUCACGGGUCGUGGGUGAGCGCGGGAUAGGUUUAGGGAACUGGUUUUAUUCCCAAGGCACCUAGUAUACAAACUACUGGGAAGCUGGCACUAAGCCAAGGACCUGAGAACUUCCUAAGUGGACCCUUUUGAGUGGAGACUAAAGCUUGAAGCAGCUCUGUUCUGGAGAGACUUAGAUUUUGGAAAGUCCUGCGACCUUCCAGUCCCACCACAGCUUCCCAGGGGACCUCUUCAAAGUAAAAGAGUCUUCUUGGAGCUGCUCCAAAGCUCUCAAAGAAUCAUGAAACACCGACCACGUGCCUGGCAGGCACCGUGCGGGGUCACUGACGUGUGCCCCCUGGCCACCCCGGGGGGAUCAGCAAUGCUCUCACUUCCACAAAGAAGGCCGAAGCGGACACAGGCUGGACAGCUGGUCAUGCAGCCGGCACUUCAGAGCGGACCUGGAAGUUUCCAGACUGUCAGCCUGACUCCAAAGCCACUCUCACAACCACUGCUUUUGGGACAGUGUCCUCUGGGCCCCUCACACCUUGAAAAUACACUUUCUUCUUUCUACUCAGAUCACAGAUUGACAGAACACAUACUGCCGAGAAAAGCAAGGCAAAGAAUGCACGAUUUAAGAAUCAUCUUACAUCAAAGGCCUCUUCUCUGGGCUAUCAUGCCCGCUUCAGGGCUGGGUCGCUGGCAAGGGCUAUGGCCUUCGAGUUCACAUUUGGUGCAUUUGGUUUUGAAUCGGGUUGCCACGGCUGGGUGGCGGGGUUGGGCAUUCCUAAGUCCAUGUCCCAGGAUUGGCCACGAUGAACUCUAGAGGUUUCUGAAGGUGUGAAUUUCCACUGCCAGCCAGGUCAAGACAUUCCCCUGGAAAGCCCUAAUGCCCAGUGCUUUCCGCUCCCUCUCCUUCUGCUGCUUGCACAUUCUGAACACACACGGGGUUCCAGGAGCAUGGGCUUCAAUGGCAAAGAGCAGGGACGUGGCCUCGAUGGAUGGCCAUCCUCACUCGGCCUUUCCUUUCUUCUCCCCACCUGCCAGUCAUUCCCAUCUCAUCUGAUUAAGCCACAAUCAAUUUGUUCUCUGUGGAAGCAGCAGAAAAGAAGGGCAACCAAACCCUCUGGGUCAGGCACGGUGAUGGCAGUAACUGGCCACUGUCGGUGUGCGGGUGGCCAGGCCCUGAGUGCUGGCCCUGACAGUGUUAGAGGCCAGCCACGCCUGUUCUCACUUAUGUUUCUAACUUUGCUUAACAAAUAAGACAGCAAAACUGAAGAAUGUCCAUCUGUCAAAAAACCCUUUUACAAAAGAUAUUAACUCUUCCUACAAACAAAGCUCUCACCACCACAUUAGCAAUUAUCAACAGAGAAGCAAAAGCUACAUGGACAUUGUUGAAUACGUUUCUUUUCCAGAGUGCACGAAAAUGUACCUUACCCUCUGCCUCCUCCAGCUGGGAGUGAGUCUGUAAAGAAGCACUUGGAUGAACGUGGAACUCUCAGCCAAGCUGAGGUGGGGAAGCCGGAGGCUGCGGAACUGCAGGGAGGGAUGGAGCUGAAUUCAAGACUGGGCGGGCAGAUGCAGGUUCAGCAGCACGGGAAAUUUAUUUUAACUCGUGGUAUAUGUUCUUCUUCACUGAUGCAAUCACACUUGCACCAAACAUUUACUAAUUCACUCAGUGGCUCAAAGACAACAGAUAAAACGAAGUACCCUGAACUCGUUUGUAAAGAUCCUAAAUGAUGUCCUGCUAAAACUGGGCCCCAUAUAAAAAUUCUCAACACUGUUCUAAUCUAAAACACACAUGCUGAACACAGACUCGAAUCAGUCUUUGAUGAAUCUUCAACAAAGGGCAAGUCGGCCCCCUAAGAAUCCGUGGGGGUCAGCUUCCCGCUCUGCUCCCUUACCAGGAGCCUCGGCCCGGAUUGUGCUCCCGGCACACGCCCUCCGCCGUCGUGUAACCGCGUAACCGCGUAACCGGCUGCUCUACCGUCUGCUCUCCACGCCCUACCUUCGCGUAACCGGCUGCUCGCCACGCCCUACCCUCGCGUAACCGGCUGCUCGCCACGCCCUACCCUCGCAUAACCGGCUGCUCGCCACGCCCUACCCUCGCAUAACCGGCUGCUCGCCACGCCCUACCCUCGCAUAACCGGCUGCUCGCCACGCCCUACCCUCGCAUAACCGGCUGCUUGCCACGCCCUACCCUCGCGUAACAGGCUGCUCGCCACGCCCUACCCUCGAGUAACCGGCUGCUCGCCACGCCCUACCCUCGAGUAACACCGGCUGCUCGCCACGCCCUACCCUCGCAUAACCGGCUGCUCGCCACGCCCUACCCUCGCAUAACCGGCUGCUCGCCACGCCCUACCCUCUCGUAACCAGCUGUUCGCGGGGCUUCCUUUAUUUUCGCUCCUGCCCCAUGGUCUUCCUUCUUUCAAUAGCAAAAGUUCUCAUGACACGAUAAAAUGGAUACAUGCGUUGAGUGAGACCUGGAUAAGAAAAGGGGAAUGACACGGCCUUUCAUCACAUUGUUUACGCCACUAACGCACCGGGGCAUUCUUCCUCCAGUGAAUAUCACUUACUUCAUCAGGGUCACGUUGUAAUGAUAGUUCUGGCUUUAAAUGAAUGUGAUGUCACGAGCACUUCACCACGUGAGGCCACACACACAGCGGCACCCCGACCAGCCUCUUCCUCUGCUACUUCGGCAGCUACUGCGUCUCAAACCGCGCGACUCUCGUGAGCGGCAGCCCGCAGGUGACUGGGGCGGCUCUGUUCUGGCCUCUCCCCUGAGAGCUGAAUGUCAAGCUCCAACCCGCACGAGGCCUGGUCUGAGCGACUGGGGGCAGGCACUGCGCUGCCUGUCACUCCAGCUGCUCCCGAGCCCGCCAGCACCUCACUCUGCUGUCAGCGAGGGCGGCUUCUUUUCCUGUGGGAAAUCACGCUGGGAACUGAACCUGAGAAGACGUGACUUCUGCUGGAGUGGCAAUUAUCAGACAUUAGGGCUCGGCACACAUCUGUACAAAUGGCAGCGUGUUCAUUUCCCGCGCAACCUGAAGGCUCUGCGCUGACUUGAUCACUACGGGGUGAAAACCUUCCGCCGUCCUCGCUCGCUUCUU
rnacentral:lncRNA from 1 species